rnacentral:rRNA from 1 species
UACGGGGGGAGCAAGCGUUGUUCGGAUUUACUGGGCGUAAAGAGCUCGUAGGCGGUUCGUCGCGUCGGCUGUGAAAUCCCGAGGCUCAACCUCGGGUCUGCAGUCGAUACGGGCGGACUGGAGUUCGGCAGGGGAGACUGGAAUUCCUGGUGUAGCGGUGAAAUGCGCAGAUAUCAGGAGGAACACCGGUGGCGAAGGCGGGUCUCUGGGCCGAUACUGACGCUGAGGAGCGAAAGCGUGGGGAGCGAACAGG